GGGCCCGUGGCUCAAUGGUAGAGCACUCGACUCCAGAUCGAAAGGCUGCGCGUUCGAUUCGCGUCGGGCUCA